UCUCCCCUACCGUGGCUCUCCAACACUCCACAGAGCAGCCUCCAUGGAGUGACAUCAUGUGUAUGAAGUUGCCCGUCACCCUGGGGGCACUGCUGCAGGAGCUCCUGAAUUGCAGCUGGCCUGGAGAAGAGCUCUAGAGGCGUCCACGUCAUGCUUCACUGCAAUGGGUGCAAUCCAGUGUAAUCCCUUCCUCUGUGUGUCCACCUGAAAUAAAGGAAAGGGUGAGCAGUGAGCUCUUCUCAUCUGGGUCUCAAGCCUUACUCUCUGGAUGAUUUCAGGGACUCCGAAGGAGCUUCCAAGAGGGAAGAUGUUGCCCACAGGUGGGUGGCUGGAAGAAGUCUGUCAACAGCAUCAUUGUGUUUCCAUCAACAGCCUGGAGGUGUCACUUGGUGUCCCCUGAAGCUUCCAAAGAGCAUGAGUUCCCCCUGUCCCCUCUAGACCUUGUGAGGGUAAAAGAAACCCUUCCCCCUAGCCUGAGAGUCUAACAAACUCAAAAAAAAAAAAUCUGCACAAAAUUAAAGGAAACAAAACAAA